rnacentral:rRNA from 1 species
UCAGGAUGAACGCUAGCUACAGGCUAACACAUGCAAGUCGAGGGGCAGCAUGAUCUUAGCUUGCUAAGAUUGAUGGCGACCGGCGCACGGGUGAGUAACGCGUAUCCAACCUUCCCCUUAGUAGGGCAUAGCCCGGUGAAAAUCGGAUUAAUACCCUAUGUUGUGUCAUGAGGACAUCUGAAUAACACUAAAGAUUUAUCGCUAAGGGAUGGGGAUGCGUCCGAUUAGGUAGUCGGCGGGGUAACGGCCCACCGAGCCCUCGAUCGGUAGGGUUCUGAGAGGAAGGUCCCCCACACUGGUACUGAGACACGGACCAGACUCCUACGGGAGGCAGCAGUGAGGAAUAUUGGUCAAUGGGCGUAAGCCUGAACCAGCCAAGUAGCGUGCAGGAUGACGGCCCUAUGGGUUGUAAACUGCUUUUAUACGGGGAUAAAGUGAGGGACGUGUCCCUUAUUGUAGGUACCGUAUGAAUAAGGACCGGCUAAUUCCGUGCCAGCAGCGGC